GACGAGGGAUCCUAGCGUUGUUCGGAUUCACUGGGCGUAAAGGGUGCGCAGGCGGCCGUGUGUGUGAGGCGUGAAAGCCUGGAGCUUAACUCCAGAAUUGCACCUCAAACUACACGGCUAGAGCAUUGGAGAGGGUAGCAGAAUUCACGGUGUAGCAGUGAAAUGCGUAGAUAUCGUGAGGAAUACCAGAGGCGAAGGCGGCUACCUGGACAAUUGCUGACGCUCAGGCACGAAAGCGUGGGGAGCAAAAGGG
rnacentral:rRNA from 1 species